rnacentral:lncRNA from 1 species
AAUUCCUCACGAGCCCCUCCUUGGGGUCAGCUCCUCCUAGACCAGGCCCAGCAGGCAGGGCUGCAGGAGGGGCUCACACUCCCAAGAGGCUCCGGGUCGUGUAGGGACAUCUUCCAACACAUAACCCAAACGCCGACGCCGACACCGAGGGCAGUUUCAGGGAGCAGAGGCGCUCACCACAGGACAACAGUCAAGAGGCAAGAGGCGGCAGCAAGGGAGCGCCGCGCCCCGGGACCCUGGAAGCCCGCCCGUCCCCGCCCCCCGCGGCCGCGACCUCAGCGCUCCCGGUGCGGUUCCCGGAAACUCCUCGAUUUCCCUGUGGCCUCCGCUUUUGCAAGAAACCGAAACCCAAGCCCCGCCCCUCCGGCGCGGCCUCGCGGGACCCGGCUGCUCUCAGCAGGGUCUGAGGGAGAGGGGCCCCAGGGAGGCUCUGGUAACAGCGGUCCAGUUCGGCCCUGGAAUAUGAAAUCAUGACCUGACACACAAAGGAAGCCAC